CCUACGGGAGGCAGCAGUAGGGAAUCUUUCACAAUGGGCGAAAGCCUGAUGGAGCAACGCCGCGUGCAGGAUGAAGGCCUUCGGGUUGUAAACUGCUUUUAUAAGCGAGAAAUAUGAUGGUAACUUAUGAAUAAGGAUCGGCUAAAUACGUGCCAGCAGCCGCGGUCAUACGUAGGAUCCGAGCAUUAUCCGGAGUGACUGGGUGUAAAGAGUUGCGUAGGUGGCAUAAUAAGUAGCUAGUGAAAUCUGGUGGCUCAACCAUUCAGACUAUUAGCUAAACUGUUAAGCUCGAGACCGUUAGGGGUAACUGGAAUGUCUGGUGUAGGAGUGAAAUCCGUAGAUAUUAGAAGGAACACCAAUAGCGUAGGCAGGUUGCUGGGACGGUUCUGACACUAAGGCACGAAAGCGUAGGGAGCAAACGGGAUUAGAUACCCCUGUAGUC
rnacentral:rRNA from 1 species